rfam:Parcubacteria (Giovannonibacteria) bacterium GW2011_GWA2_44_13b TW30_C0001, whole genome shotgun sequence.
GGGCCAUUAGCAUAGUGGCAGUGCACCCGGUUUGCAUCCGGGUGGCGGGAGUUCGAUUCUCCCAUGGUCCA